UGUCGGCGGCAUUCUUUCCGAAAGAGUCAAACCUAUUAGACGUGUUUUCCAAAUUAGCAAGUGAUCCCGAAAUUUUUCGUACAACUUCUUCACCCCCCGAACUGUGUUUCUAUAAAAUGGUCUGUCCAGUUCCUUCAAGCAGCUGCUGCUAUCCCUUGGCCUAUUGUUGCAGUCCGGGAGCGUACGCGUGCAACUGUUCCUGCUGCGGAUACGGCUGUCCAGCGCCGAGCUGCAUCUGCCCGUACAUACGAGCUAAAAAUUGUCGUGACCUGCGACUUUGCCGCCCUUGGGGAAGAUGAGCUGUAAUCCGGGCUGUUGCGAUUACGUGUGCGGUGCCGCGGGAUUGUGUUCGCCGAGCAUGUGCUGUACUAGUUACCGCGGACCAUGUGGACCAUGUGGACCGUGCGGACCAUGUGGACCAUGUGGACCUUGUGAGCCGUACGGACCAUGUGGACCAUGUGGACCUUGUGGACCUUGCGGACCAUGUGGACCCUGUGGACCAUGUGGACCUUGUGGACCAUGCAUACCAUGUGGUCCAUGUGGACCAUCCGGACCAUGUGUGCCUUGCAGUCCAUGCGGACCGUGUGGACCUUGUGAACCAUAUCUUGCUUGCACCAGCGCAGCAGUCAUCUUGCAGCGAGCAAGAAUGGCCCGUCGCAUGCGACUGAAAAAUGCGUUCAUGUACGAUUGAAGCCAACGAGCUGGACCGACAACUGAAACCAGUUGAUGGUGCCUUGAUGCCUUACCUUGAUAUCUUCCAAAUCCAACGAACUUACGCCGCUGGAUUCGCUACCAACUGGUGACAGCGGGUUCUUGAUGCUGCUGCGAAAGUCGAUGCUCACGGGAGAAAUCGGCGAAAGCAGUCCGAAUCCUUCCAGGAGGUCACCUACGCCCGACAUCGGCACAGCAAUGUUGAGAGCCAUCUGUAUGAAAAGGGAAGAAGAAAAAAAUA